CACUCAAGCCUGGGUGGCAGAGUGAGAUCCUGUCUCAAAAAGAAACUUCUGGAUAGUUCACGAGACUUGCCGAAGCCUUCCUCUUUCAUCUGGGCUGCCAACAUGCCAUCCAGAAUGAGGAAGACCCAGAAACUUCGGGGCCACGUGAGCCAUGGCCACGGCCCCAUUGGCAAGCACCGGAAGCACCCCAGAGACCAAGGUAAUGCUGGUGGUAUGCAUCACCACAGGAUCAACUUCGCCAAAUACCACCCAGGUUACUUUCGGAAAGUUGGCAUGAGGCAUUACCACUUAAAGAGGAACCAGAGCUUCUGCCCAACUGUCAUCCUUGACAGAUUGUGGACCUUGAUUAGUGAUGGCUGCUAAAAACAAGACUGGGGCUGCUCCCAUAAUUGAUGUGGUGCAAUUGGGCUACUACAAAGUUCUGGGCAAGGGAAAGCUCCCAAAGCAGCCUGUCAUCGUGAAGUCCAAAUUUUUCAGCCGAAGAGCUGAGGAGAAGAUUAAGUGUGUCAGGGGGAGCUGUGACCUGGUGGUUUGAAACCACAUAGAGGGAGGUUCAUUAAAUGUUAACUGCUUUAAAACAAAACAAAACAAAACAAAAAACUCCCCCAGGAGAAGAAUUCUAAUUUUAUCAAGCUGAAUUAAAAUUUGAAUCUUUUUGUUUUUAAACCUUACUGUGUCAAAAGAGGCAUUAUGUUGCUUGUGUGAUAGUAGUGUCCCUACAAGUUUAAUGUACCUGAAAUGUCACAAUGUGACCUUACAGUAGCCACCCCAACCCCACCCUUAUCUGUGGUGGAUACAUUUGCAAGAUCCUCAGUGGAUGCCUGAAACAGCAGAUAGUACUGAACCUUAUGUCUAUAUACUGUUUGUUUUCCUAUGCAUACAUACCCCUAUGAUAAAGUUUAUUAAUUUGGCACUUAAGAAAUUAACAGCAGAACUAAAAAGAUGGAAGAGUUGUAACAAUACACUCUAAUAAAAGUUAUUUAAAACAGAA